rnacentral:pre_miRNA from 1 species
AUGUAGGGCAAUCUGUCUUUAAGUAGGGGUUAAUUACUCUUAAAGAAAAAAAGGAAUCCUAGAUAGUUUUCCCUUCAAGUCAAGCAUCUUGU